rnacentral:tRNA from 1 species
GCCUUCGUGGUGUAGUGGCCAGCACGCUCGACACGUUACCGAGAAGUCCGUGGUUCGAUUCCCGGGGGAAGGCA